CCUACGGGCGGCUGCAGUGGGGAAUAUUGGACAAUGGGGGGAACCCUGAUCCAGCGACGCCGCGUGAGUGAAGAAGUAUUUCGGUUUGUAAACUUCUAUCAGCAGGGAAGAAAGAAAUGACUGUACCUGACUAAGAAGCCCCGUCUAACUACGUGCCAGCAGCCGCGGUAAGACGUAGGGGGCAAGCGUUACCCGGAUUUACUGGGUGUAAAGGGCGCGUAGACGGCGGUGCAAGUCUGAUGUGAUAGGCGGGGGCCCAACCCCAGAACUGCAUUGGAAACUGUAUGGCUUGAGUGCAGGAGAGGAAAGUGGAAUUCCUAGUGUAGCGGUGAAAUGCGUAGAUAUUAGGAGGAACACCAGUGGCGAAGGCGGCUUUCUGGACUGUAACUGACGUUGAGGCUCGAAAGCGUGGGGAGCAAACAGGAUUAGAUACCCCAGUAGUC
rnacentral:rRNA from 1 species